ACAGAGAAUAUUUGUGUAAUUACAACUUUUGGUCACUAGGUGGGCCCAAUCCAAGCAUGUCGUAGAAUCGAGGGUAAUCCAUAAUUAAAGGGAAGAGAUUUUUAGAAACGCUAUUUCGAGCUUAUUUCUAUGUAUCCCUAGGCGGAUGGAGAAACAAUUUUUUUUUUUUUUUCACACGGCAUUUUACUGUUAACACAGGAGCUGCUGAAGACCCGUAUGCAACAAACGGCCAGGGGUGUCUAGAAGUGAUAGGGCAGUUAAACAGCAAGCUGUGUCGAAGGCUUUACUUCACAGAAGGUGACAGUGUGUCUUUAAAAAGCAGUAGGUUGUCAGGUGACUCCGAAAGCACGGUCAACUCAGUAAGCACAAGGGAAACUGAGAACAGGAGAGAGAGAGAGAGAGAGAGAGUGAGAGAGGCAGAAAGACAGAGCGACAGAGAGGGAGGGAGGCUGGAAGGUUCUGGCAGCACUCUGUGUGUGUGUGUGCCUGUGUUGAGCUUGCUUGACUCUUUCGAGAAGCUGCAGUUCUGCACAUGCAACACAGGGAGCAGGCUGGAGAAUUAAGUGCUGCGUCACAGUGAGAGAGAGGAGAGAGGAGAUUGUGUGAGAGAGUGUGUGUGUGUGUGUUAGUGUGUGCCUAUGCGUGUGUGUGAGAGAGAGAGAGAGAGAGAGAGAGAGAGAGAGAGAGAGAGAGAGCUGGCUCUGUUGAUGGGGCUGCAGGAACAUCAGUGCUGCAGCAGCAAGCAGAGAAAUAGAGAGAUUUGGAAAUAGUCGCUACGUCACUUUUUCACGUCGAAGACCACAACAGGAGCUGAGAUACUGGAAGAUGGGAGUCCUCGACUGUUCAAUGUGAAAGCGGACGGAGUUGGGAUGGUUUUUCCUCUUCUUUAUUUGGUUUUUUCACCUCAAAGACGGUGAGACGAAUGCUUUGCCCCGUCUUUGCGUAUAUCCCGGUUCGUCAUGACGACCUGUCGUUUUCCCGUGGGCGGAACACUGCGCUAUAUUGCAUGUUGGCAGGUGCGGAUUGAAAACGGAGACCCCCCCAUUGACCUGCAUCGCCACAGCUUUGGAUGCAAUUGUCGUAAGAGGAUUAGUGGGCUGAAGUUUUGCAAACUGAAGGGAAAAGAUUGCUGGUCUUCUCCUGGACGCUGGUUUCAGGUGGUGGCUUAGAGUUCUUCAUGUGUUUAAUCUAGCACCAUUUGAAAUCAGUGUUCUUGGAGCAAGAAAAACAUCAAUCAGCUUGAUGAGAGAGGAGCGCUGGAGACUUGAGCUGAACUGCAACAUCAAUCAGCCUGACUGAGCUGAACUGAGCUGAACUACACCCCAUGCAUGUGGGCGAACUGUCACAAGAGGCCCUGCUCUUUAUACAGGAGAGCCAGGUUGUUUUGCAUGGUUAUACUAUUCACUUGCCAUAGUUUGUCAUUCUUUGCCAUAUCUCUCUGGGCUUUACAUUGCUUACCUAGCUAUGCUUUAUUACUUUCCAUAUUUCUAUAGUUGAACUUUUGCAUCUUAAAAAGCUGGCAAAGGUACAUUAACUUCCAAGUAGUAACACUGUAGUUACCAUGUACUAGUAUUUACUACAUGCACAUUGUGUGAUUGUGAGGGCGGGGCUCCAUACAUUCAGCUACAUGUAGUUAACAAAGAUUUAUGCAGGAAGACAGAAAUAUCAUUUAAUCAAAAUUAUUUUGCUGCCAAGCUUCAGUGUCAAAACUUCAUAAGUGCAGAGUCCUGAGUUUUUCUGGGAAACAGUUUGCAAUGCAGACAUAACUGGAAGCCCAUACAUGCUGCACAUAAUGAUCUUGUUCAUUACUAUUAUUAUUAUAAUUUAUUUCUUAGCAGAUGCCCUUAUCGAGGGCAACUAUCAGUUGUUACAAGAUAUCACAUUCUUUUUAAAUACAAUAACCCAUUAUGUUGUGCAUGCUCUCUCCCACCCCACAGCACAUGGACUUUACUCUGAGCCCUCUUCCCAAGGUUGACCGAUUUCUUUUGGUGUUCAGAGUCAUCAUCAGUUUCUAGCACCAUUUGAAAUCGGUUACAAUUUAGGAGGUAUAGCAGCAAAAAAAACAAAACAAAAAACUGCAAACAAAUCCCUUGCAUUGCAUGUAGUUCAUUGUUGCUGCAAUGAUUUAUGUGUUAUUUUUUAUAUGUUUUGAUAUUGUUCAGUAUGUCAAAAGCGCAAUAAAAAUAAUAAUAAAAAGAAAAAAAUGUAGACUGC